GCAGGUUUAGCUCAGUUGGGAGAGCGUCAGACUGAGGUCCACUUCAGUCAUUAAUCUGAAGGUCAUGUGUUUGAUCCACAUAAACCACA
rnacentral:tRNA from 1 species